AACGAACGCUGGCGGCAGGCUUAACACAUGCAAGUCGAACGCAUCCUUCGGGGUGAGUGGCAGACGGGUGAGUAACGCGUGGGAAUCUACCCUGAUCUGCGGGAUAGCUCCGGGAAACUGGAAUUAAUACCGCAUAUGUCCUGAGGGACAAAGAUUCAUCGGUUCAGGAUGAGCCCGCGUCCGAUUAGCUAGUUGGUGGGGUAAAGGCCUACCAAGGCGACGAUCGGUAGCUGGUCUAAGAGGAGGAUCAGCCACAUUGGGACUGAGACACGGCCCAAACUCCUACGGGAGGCAGCAGUGGGGAAUAUUGGACCAUGGGCGCAAGCCUGAGCCAGCCAUGCCGCGUGAGUGAUGAAGGUCUUAGGAUUGUAAAGCUCUUUCACCGGGGACGAUAAUGACGGUACCCGGAGAAGAAGCCCCGGCUAACUUCGUGCCAGCAGCCGCAGUAA
rnacentral:rRNA from 1 species